rnacentral:rRNA from 1 species
GAUGAACGCUGGCGGCGUGCUUAACACAUGCAAGUCGAACGAUGAAGCCCAGCUUGCUGGGUGGAUUAGUGGCGAACGGGUGAGUAACACGUGAGCAACCUGCCCCUGACUCUGGGAUAAGCGCUGGAAACGGCGUCUAAUACUGGAUACGAACAAGAAUCGCAUGGUUACUUGUUGGAAAGAUUUUUUGGUUGGGGAUGGGCCCGCGGCCUAUCAGCUUGUUGGUGAGGUAAUGGCUCACCAAGGCGUCGACGGGUAGCCGGCCUGAGAGGGUGACCGGCCACACUGGGACUGAGACACGGCCCAGACUCCUACGGGAGGCAGCAGUGGGGAAUAUUGCACAAUGGGCGGAAGCCUGAUGCAGCAACGCCGCGUGAGGGAUGACGGCCUUCGGGUUGUAAACCUCUUUUAGCAGGGAAGAAGCGAAAGUGACGGUACCUGCAGAAAAAGCGCCGGCUAACUACGUGCCAGCAGCCGCGGUAAUACGUAGGGCGCAAGCGUUAUCCGGAAUUAUUGGGCGUAAAGAGCUCGUAGGCGGUUUGUCGCGUCUGCUGUGAAAUCCCGAGGCUCAACCUCGGGCCUGCAGUGGGUACGGGCAGACUAGAGUGCGGUAGGGGAGAUUGGAAUUCCUGGUGUAGCGGUGGAAUGCGCAGAUAUCAGGAGGAACACCGAUGGCGAAGGCAGAUCUCUGGGCCGUAACUGACGCUGAGGAGCGAAAGGGUGGGGAGCAAACAGGCUUAGAUACCCUGGUAGUCCACCCCGUAAACGUUGGGAACUAGUUGUGGGGUCCAUUCCACGGAUUCCGUGACGCAGCUAACGCAUUAAGUCCCCCGCCUGGGGAGUACGGCCGCAAGGCUAAAACUCAAAGGAAUUGACGGGGACCCGCACAAGCGGCGGAGCAUGCGGAUUAAUUCGAUGCAACGCGAAGAACCUUACCAAGGCUUGACAUAUACGAGAACGGGCCAGAAAUGGUCAACUCUUUGGACACUCGUAAACAGGUGGUGCAUGGUUGUCGUCAGCUCGUGUCGUGAGAUGUUGGGUUAAGUCCCGCAACGAGCGCAACCCUCGUUCUAUGUUGCCAGCACGUAAUGGUGGGAACUCAUGGGAUACUGCCGGGGUCAACUCGGAGGAAGGUGGGGAUGACGUCAAAUCAUCAUGCCCCUUAUGUCUUGGGCUUCACGCAUGCUACAAUGGCCGGUACAAUGGGCAGCGAUACCGUGAGGUGGAGCGAAUCCCAAAAAGCCGGUCCCAGUUCGGAUUGAGGUCUGCAACUCGACCUCAUGAAGUCGGAGUCGCUAGUAAUCGCAGAUCAGCAACGCUGCGGUGAAUACGUUCCCGGGUCUUGUACACACCGCCCGUCAAGUCAUGAAAGUCGGUAACACCUGAAGCCGGUGGCCUAACCCUUGUGGAGGGAGCUGUCGAAGGUGGGAUCGGUAAUUAGGACUAA